AGUUAUUACAACAACAGCGAUGGCGGCCGCUGCACGAUUCUUCGUCCGAGGGGCAAACUCGAAACUUUCCAUCUCUGGUGUUGGCACCGGCACCCACAGCCCCUUUGCAGCCGCUCUGCUGAAGCUGUCGCCGAGCUCCAGCUCCGGCGUCCCCACAAAAACACAACGGAGACACGCGCACUUCUCCUUCCAGGCUGACCCCGCGCCGACACAGUAUGGCCCCACCGAGAAGAUGAACAUGUUCCAGUCGGUUACAAGUGCUUUGGACAACACUCUCGCCAGCGAUCCAACAGCAGUCAUCUUUGGGGAAGACGUUGCCUUCGGUGGAGUAUUCCGAUGCACAGUGGGUCUGAGAGACAAAUACGGUAAGCUCUUCUUCCACUGCCUGCAUUUAAACGAGCUUGCCGCUAGGUGGCAGCAGAGGACCGUGAAAAGAUCUGCCUACUUCCUCUCUCGCAAGGUCGUUUUUACUGUUCACUGUUCACCUCGAGGACCAGAAGGAUCCGUUUGCGCUCAUUUGUCCUCUGGAGCCGGGGAGCCCAACCAGCGAGAUACAGCAGAGCUGAUAAAGUUUGAGUUUGCUUUUUUUCACUCUGGUGCUCAAAUGUUGCUUGAGGCGUUGCUAAAGUAGUGCAUCAGGCCCAUCUAGUUUGCACGAACCAAGUGCUCCUGUUAAUAUGCCUCACGUGAAUAUGAUUGGAGUCUUUUUUAAAGGGUGAAUUAGCUCUGAAUUGCGUACAGACAUGAAGGUCGACACUGCGCUGCUCUUUCCAGCAGGCAGCAGUUGCGUUACCGGUCACAGGUGCCAUUUAUAGAUUUUGACAAUGGCUCCGUUCUGUUCAAGUGUCCCGAGGAAGCGGUGACAUUGAGACAGAGCGCGCGGUGCCAGGAACCUGACGACCAAAGCAGCUAAAUGGAAUGCAGCAGCCGCUCAUUUCAUUGUACACCUGUGCUUUUAGUACCCCCCCCCCCCCCCCCUAUUGCCGCUUGCUUCGAAGUUGCUCCCGCGGUUGAUUUAAAUCAGUAGUUUAAGUGUCUUCCUGUCUGUGAGGAUUUUCCCUUCAAAGGAAACCAGCAGUUCCUGUUUGAUUCUGAGUAGGGAUGCAGCGACACCAUUUCUUCACACCCAAGUACAAGAACUAAAAUGUAAGGACAGAGUCUUCAACACUCCCCUUUGUGAGCAGGGCAUUGUGGGAUUUGGUAUCGGUGCAGCUGUCGCCGGUGCCACAGCCAUUGCCGAGAUCCAGUUCGCCGACUACAUCUACCCUGCUUUUGACCAGAUCGUCAACGAAGCAGCCAAGUACCGCUACCGGUCUGGCAACUUGUUCGACUGCGGCAGCCUCACCAUCCGAGCGCCGUGGGGGUGUGUCGGCCACGGGUCACUCUACCACUCCCAGAGCCCCGAGGCCUUCUUCGCCCACUGCCCUGGCAUCAAGGUCGUAAUACCUCGUAGUCCAGUGCAGGCAAAGGGGCUGCUCCUCGCCUGCAUCGCUGACCAGAACCCCUGCAUAUUCUUUGAGCCCAAGAUCCUGUACAGAGCAGCAGUGGAGCAGGUUCCCGUGGAGCCCUACACCCUCCCUCUCUCACAGGCCGAGGUCCUACAGGAAGGAAGUGACGUCACUGUGGUUGCCUGGGGGACACAGAUCCAUGUGAUGAGGGAGGUGGCCGAUAUGGCUCAAGAGAAACUGGGAGUGUCUUGCGAGCUCAUCGAUCUACAGACCAUCCUGCCCUGGGAUGUUGAAACAAUUUGUAAGUCGGUGGUGAAAACCGGACGCUUGCUCAUCAGCCAUGAAGCGCCAAUAACCGGAGGCUUUGCUGCUGAAAUUAGCUCUUCAGUACAGGAGCAGUGCUUCCUUAACCUGGAGGCUCCCAUCAGCAGGGUCUGCGGUUAUGACACCCCCUUCCCUCACAUCUUUGAGCCCUUCUACAUCCCAGACAAGUGGAAGUGCUUUGAUGCAAUUAAGAAGAUGAUCAACUACUGAACACCCGUCAGAGCCAACCUCUGGUGACCCUGAACUCCACGCUCUCUCCUCUUCCUCUUCAUUUAUCAAAUCGGCGGAGAGCAGCCAGGAAAAAACACGUUGUUGACCAUCCAGGAAGCAGUAUCUAGAUGGGCUCCAUGUCCCGCAGUGUCUUCCAGCUAAAAGACUGUUACAGCGCCUCCGAUCCGCUCUAUAUGGUGGCUCGCUGCUUUGGCGUCGACGCCAUGCACAUAAUUUGACUUCCUCUUAAAUAAGUGUUGGAUACUGUGUCAGCGUAUUUGAUUGACUUUAUUGCAUUUGCCUAUCCGUGCUGUUACCUUUUUUAAAUCCAAUGUGUCCAGCUCUGCUCUAAUCUUUAUUUAGUUUGCCCUUCACUAAUCCAUAUUGUAUUAAUAUAGUUGAUUUCUGGUUUUUAAGGAAAAUAAAGUAAUCCGAUUUGGUGAAAACAUUUGA